CCCUCCCUCCCUCUCUACCUCCCUCCCUCCCUCUCUACCUCCCUCCCUCUCUACCUCCCUCCCACCCUCUCUAUCUCCCUCCCUCCCUCCUCUCUAUCUCUAAGUGUACAUGUGUUAGAAAAGGUGAUAUUCAUUGUCAUGUUGAGUGUUUGACAGAUCUUUCCUCAGUCUAUGGGAGUGGUUUAACACCAUACAUCUGAAUGCAUAAUAUAUCAAUAGGGAAAUAGGUGUAAAUUUAACAAGUCCUUGUGUAACACUGGUAGAGCAUUGAAUCUAGAACACACACACACACACACACACUCAAACACAGAGACACACACAUGCAUGCAAUGUGUUUGUGUGUGUAGAGAGAGAGAUUGAUAAAGAGUGUGUGUGACAGAGAAAGACAGAGAGACAGAGGGAGAGAGAGAGAAAGAGAGGUUGCCCUGUUUGUUGGAGACAGAUACAAACAGACACAGCCGAGUCAUGGCUCCGUAACACACACACACACAGACACACACACACACACACAUACACACACAGAGCCAAGUCGCAGCUUGACAAUAACACAGCCUCGCUGCUACCCAGAAUGCAAUGCCAGAUUUACUGCAGAGAAUGCAGAGGAGGAGGGGGUUCUGGGGUGUGGGGGAGACAGAAAGAGGAGCAGGGGGAGAAGUAGCAAAACAAGCAGAGGGAAGGCGUAGAAUGGAGAAGGAGCGGUUGAGACGAGAAAAGGAAAAGAAGAGAGACUGAGAGGCAUAGAGAUAACUGAGAAAGGAAGGAACAAGAAAGAAUGAGAUGAGAAACGUGAUGAUUGAAGUGUAGGAUUAGGAUUUUGAAAAAAAAUCCAGUCUGUCUAUUACCAUAAUCCAGUUUUGGGCUAUUUCAUCAGUUGUAGGCCUUGUCAUGGAGCGGGGAUAGAACGUGUCAUGUGAUCAGUGUCAAUGCUCCCCCCCCCUCUUCUCCACACUCCUGUUACCAUAGGAACUAGAGCCAGUUGAAGUUGAGACAUUUGUGACCCAUAUAUUAUUUUGUUCAUACUGUUAUGUUAUCUAAUAUAUGCAGACAUAAUUGAUAUAUACAGUAUAUAUAAAUAUAUACAGUGUGUGUAUUUAUAAGGUAUGGGUUAAUAUAUAAUGUAUUCUAUGUAUUAAAAAUGUUGUAUUGAAUUUUUAUGAUAAAAAAUAUUUUUCAACAGAUUCCCCUUCUCUCAUUCAGACAGGGUCAAUGAGUGUGAUUUCCUGAGGUGAAUUCAUUAUCCCAGGGAACACAAGGCCUUUUAUUUCCACCUCUCUGCAUAGCCACAUCCCUCUCCCCAUCCUGCAGAGGUGUGUCUGUAAUCUAGUCCCUCCCCUAGCUGUAGAAUGGGGUGUGUCUAGAUCCCGACCCAGGAAAGAG
ensembl:lncRNA